AUAAUGGGUCAGCGACUUAUAUUCUGUAGCAAGGUUAACCGAAUAGGGGAGCCGAAGGGAAACCGAGUCUUAACUGGGCGUUAAGUUGCAGGGUAUAGACCCGAAACCCGGUGAUCUAGCCAUGGGCAGGUUGAAGGUUGGGUAACACUAACUGGAGGACCGAACCGACUAAUGUUGAAAAAUUAGCGGAUGACUUGUGGCUGGGGGUGAAAGGCCAAUCAAACCGGGAGAUAGCUGGUUCUCCCCGAAAGCUAUUUAGGUAGCGCCUCGUGAAUUCAUCUCCGGGGGUAGAGCACUGUUUCGGCAAGGGGGUCAUCCCGACUUACCAACCCGAUGCAAACUGCGAAUACCGGAGAAUGUUAUCACGGGAGACACACGGCGGGUGCUAACGUCCGUCGUGAAGAGGGAAACAACCCAGACCGCCAGCUAAGGUCCCAAAGUCAUGGUUAAGUGGGAAACGAUGUGGGAAGGCCCAGACAGCCAGGAUGUUGGCUUAGAAGCAGCCAUCAUUUAAAGAAAGCGUAAUAGCUCACUGGUCGAGUCGGCCUGCGCGGAAGAUGUAACGGGGCUAAACCAUGCACCGAAGCUGCGGCAGCGACGCUUAUGCGUUGUUGGGUAGGGGAGCGUUCUGUAAGCCUGCGAAGGUGUGCUG
rnacentral:rRNA from 1 species